rnacentral:rRNA from 1 species
GGACCCGCACAAGCAGUGGAGCAUGUGGUUUAAUUCGAAGCAACGCGAAGAACCUUACCAAGGCUUGACAUCCCGGUGACCGGUAUAGAGAUAUACCUUUUCUUCUGAACACCGGUGACAGGUGGUGCAUGGUUGUCGUCAGCUCGUGUCGUGAGAUGUUGGGUUAAGUCCCGCAACGAGCGCAACCCUUAUUGUUAGUUGCCAUCAUUAAGUUGGGCACUCUAGCGAGACUGCCGGUGAUAAAUCGGAGGAAGGUGGGGACGACGUCAAAUCAUCAUGCCCCUUAUGUCUUGGGCUACACACGUGCUACAAUGGCUGUAAACAAAGGGCAGCAAGCCAGUGAUGGUAAGCAAAUCCCAAAAGACAGUCCCAGUUCGGAUUGUAGGCUGCAACUCGCCUACAUGAAGUCGGAAUUGCUAGUAAUCGCAGGUCAGCAUACUGCGGUGAAUACGUUCCCGGGUCUU